CAAUAUGUCUUCGGGCCUUCAUCCGCAUCCAAUAAAAAUGGCUCUCCCUUCCUCGAAUCCCAUCUUACGCGUUCUCGUUCGUGCUCUUAGGAUUUCUUCGGUCGAGGCAUGUGGAGAGGCUCUGGGUAUAUUCUUAACAAACUAAUGAUUUAUAGGAAAAGCUCUUUAUAUCUGUAACCUCAGGAUUUUCAGUAAAUGAAUGGAGACAUCAAGAGGUAUUCAUACAUAUGCUUCAGUCUCUAAAAACGACCAUGAAGACUAUUUUAUAGAAGACUUUGAAAAUGAUCUCUGGCCUGCUCCUGACAAGACUUGCACUUCAACACCAAGAUGCUCAAAGCAAGUUCCAUGUAAGUUUUCAACUGUCUCCAGAUUGUCAGAUGAAUAUGAUUCAGGUGACGAUCAUGGCCAUUUGGAACAGUCCAGAGCACAAAUUGAUGUGAACUUGAAAAAUGUGCUCGGUGGCAUAGUGGCUAUUCUCACUGGCAGGAACAAAGAAAGCAAUGGCAUUCAACCGCUACAAAGUCCUACCUCAAGUUCAUUAUUUUUGGGCUCUGAAGACAGUGGAGGCGGUUUCCUUCAUCCAUCUGUCUACAUACCAAGUGCACCACCUUUUCUUGAGGCAGAAGCUAUCAACUAUAAUGCUUAUCGGGCAGUUCUGGAAGCAGAUCCUCCAGAAUGGCUGCCAGAUAGUUGCACUGCUGCUUGUAUGCAGUGUGCUUCACCUUUCACAGCCCUUACUCGUGGAAGACAUCAUUGUCGAUUUUGUGGGGGUAUCUUUUGUAGAGCAUGCUCGAAAGGAAGAUGCUUGUUACCAGUCAAGUUUCGAGAGCGGGAUCCUCAAAGGGUGUGUGAUGCAUGCUAUGAUAAGCUUGAUCCUUUGCAGGGAUUAUUGAUCAACUCAAUUAGUAAUGCUAUGCAAUCAGCAAAGCAUGAUGUUAUGGACUGGACAUGUUCUAGAGGGUGGUUAAACCUUCCUGUGGGCUUAUCAAUGGAACACGAGAUAUACAAGGCAGCGAAUACUUUGAACAAUUAUAGCCAGGUUGCCAGAUUAAAUCCUGAAAGAUCUAUUCCUUUGGCAGUCUUGAGGGGAGCAAAAGGGCUUGCUAUUCUGACAGUUGCCAAAGUUGGUGCAUUUCUAACUUACAAACUAGGUACAGGCUUGGUUGUUGCAAAAAGGUCAGACGGAUCAUGGUCUGCACCAUCAUCCAUACUCUCUGUUGGUCUAGGAUGGGGAGCACAGAUCGGAGGAGAGCUGAUGGACUACAUCAUAGUGCUUCAUGGUUCUAAAGCAGUGAAGACAUUCUGCAGCCGUAUGCAUUUCUCCCUUGGGGCAGGACUGAGUGCUGCAGCAGGACCUGUUGGAAGAGUCUUAGAAGCAGAUCUUCGAGCUGGAGAUAAAGGAUCAGGAAUGUGUUAUACUUACAGCUGUAGCAAAGGUGCUUUUGUCGGAGUGUCGCUUGAAGGAAACCUAGUUGUGACCCGUCAGGAUGCUAAUACACGCUUCUAUGGUGAUCCUUAUCUGACUACUACUGACAUACUUGUGGGGACUGUAGAGCAACCGAAAGCCGCUCUGCCUUUGUAUGCUGCUCUGGAUGACCUUUGUUCGACGUUACAAUGUUAACAUUUUGUGCAAUUUGUUGUGCACACACAUCAUCUCUAUCAGACAUUUGAAACCCUAAUGAACACUUGGUCAUCAAGGAUGAUGCAUAGGGCGAUAAAUACUGGCCAGAUAUAGUUGGUACGGUUUUGGGUUUUGCACUGUAAUGUCAUCAAUACAUGACAUUUGACCUCAACACCUCAUCGAGGACGAUAAAUACUGGCCAGGUAUAGUUGGUAUGGUUAGGCGUUCUGCACUGUAAUGUCAUCAAUACAUGGUUUUCAACUUUGAGUAUUGGACUUAUAGAGAGCACAAGGAAGCAGUCGGUGACGGCAAAGAAAGAGGAAGAAAGGAAAAAGAAAAAGAAACAAAAGAGAAGGCGGUGAAGGAAAAUACAGAGUUUAGAAUGGCGUUUUAACUUUUAAGUGGAUCGGAUCGGACUAAGAUUGUCAAAUUUUUGAAUCAUACCAAUUAGGGCAAAAUUAAAAAUUCUGCUUGGAACAUAUUCUGCCUCCAAAAUUUCUGGAAGGCUUUCUCUUUUCUGAUUUUUGGCAAUUUGUACAUAAGUUUUCUACCUCAACUGCUGCUGGUUAAAUCUGAUGAGUAACUUCCCAACUGCGAUUCUGCAAAUGAUUAAAGUUGUCGCCAUUUUGUGAAGUAGAAGAGCAUUCAAGAUAUGGAGUUGGGAUGGUUUGAUCGCUUGUCUUAUCAAAGUCUGUCCUUCAUCAUGGAAACUGUGAGUUGUGUAAUCAAAAUGUAUGCUUCAUGCCUCA